rnacentral:rRNA from 1 species
AUUGAACGCUGGCGGCAGGCCUAACACAUGCAAGUCGAGCGAGCGGCGGACGGGUGAGUAAUGUAUGGGGACUGCCCGAUAGAGGGGGAUAACUACUGGAAACGGUGGCUAAUACCGCAUACUAUCGGAUAACCCAUAUGGGAUUAGCUAGUAGGUGGGGUAACGGCUCACCUAGGCGACGAUCCCUAGCUGGUCUGAGAGGAUGAUCAUCCACACUGGGGCUGUGACACGGACCAGACUCCUACGGAGGCAGCAGUGGGGAAUAUUGCACAAGGGGCGCAAGCCUGAUGCAGCCAUGCCGCGUGUAUGAAUAAGGCCUUAGGGUUGUAAAGUACUUUCAGCGUGGAGGCGUUACCCGCAGAAGAAGCACCGGCUAACUCCGUGCCAGCAGCAGCGGUAAGUC